CAAAGAUCACUAUUACCAUAACUACAGCAUUCCUCCCAUAAAGCUUUUGGAGGUAACCAAGAGGUUCGUUUGGUUCGACUGUUGAGAUAAAAAGCUCGACCAUCUUCAUUAAGAUGAACUCGAACGUGUUUGGGUAGACGAUCAUUGAUUUGAAUUACCCAUUGAUCUUCUAGACUGGUAUUAUCAUCUAAUAUUUCACAAGUACUUGGUUGACGAUGGUGUGAUGGUGAAGGAGAAGGUGAAGAGGAAGAUGAUGGUGAAGAGGAGGAAGGAGAUUCGGACACUGAUAGUGAUGAUGAAGAAGAUGAUGAUGGUCGAAACAUUAAUUUCAUCAAUAAACUGUUUCCACUGUUACUUGAAGUUGCAUUGUGAUAACUGCUUAAAAUAGCAGUCUUCAUGGUUGAAAAUUGUGUUGAAAAAUAGUUAACACAAAAACUUAACAGUCACUUGACAAUCCAACCAAACAUUUAACACUUUUGGAAAUUCCUGUCGAUGUAUGAAAGAAAAGAUGAAAUCAACAGUAACUACAAUGUGAUUAAUAAAGCUUUGGAUGGAUACAAAUCAACUGAUGAACGGACAAAUGUUAAAUGGAUUGAACUACAAUUUUGUUUCUCUCUCUCUCUCUUCAUACAUCUUCACUUUUUCGUGGUUCCUCCAACAUUUAGCUUCUCAAAAGAUGAAAGACACUCACAUAACCAACUAUAUACAGAAAAUAGGUCGAUGGUCGAAGAUGGCCUUGAAGAUCUCUUAAUUACUACUUUUAUCUGGUUAGCUAUUUAACUAAUAACAUAAUGAAGCAAAGAAAGAAGCAAGAGAAGAAAGCAAAUGUUUUACCACGAAAAGAAAGAAACCAAAGUUGGCCUCUUUAAAUCUCUCAACGAACCUGUUCUGACCACACCGGACAAGACAUUUUUUAAUCAAGAAUUAGAAUAAGAAUCAGAACCAGAAUCAGAAUAACAACAGUUAAGAAAAUGCGAGAACAUAAUGAUCAAGAAGAAGACGAAGAAAAAAAAGACAAACACUUAACUUGUGGUCAAGGCUGUUAAAACCGUUUUACUGAUCAUCUUAACCAUGUUUUACAAAUUAUAAGUAAUAGCUUUAUAAAUUGUAAUAUAUUUUAUAUCAUUAAACUUUCGUUAAACCCAA